UGUUUUAUUUUCUUAUGUUUUGUCUGGACUUUAAUUCUUCUUUUGUGUCUCGCUUUCAAUUUCUUUUUCAGAAGUUUAAAAUUUUGUUCGUUUGAUGGCUUGGGGAUAUUGCCGCUUGAUUAAAAUGGGUUUUUUUCAUUUUAUAUUCAAUCCUCCAUCAUUGUUGGCCUUUCGGCUCUUUGGAAAACUGAUUAUGUACUCAUUUAUGGCUUUGUAUCAAUUGCAUAGUCGUCAGAGGUAUUAAUGAGAAUAGAGACAUGCUAUGUGAAUAAAAUUCACUGAGGUUAGUAAUGGAUUGUGUCAACUAUUUUGAUCACCCUUUUUUCUUAGACAAUUUUUUCUAAUUUUAUGGCUUAACUUACAGAGAAUUGAAGCUAAAGCUGAUAAAACGCGACUCAAUCGUAAUUUCCUGAAAUUUUAUCUUCUUGAGGAAUAACAUGUAAUAGGUUCUUUGGGUAUUUUCCUUAGAAUCAAGGUGGUUCCAUUAGUGAUCUCAAGCAACAUAUUAAUGCUCGAUCAGUUGAUGAUUGCAUAGAUCAUGAAGUGAAUUUGAAUGGUAAUAUCAGGUCGUUUUUUUUUAAAUAAGUCAUAAUUCUCUCAUGGUUAUUAUUUAUCAUUCAUGUGUCUUUUGAAUAUCAAAUAAGUACUUUCAAUGUCAACAAACUUUAUGGAUCCACGAUAAUGAUGGAAUAAUGUAUAAAGAAACUGCUGAAAAAGUGCAUCUGUAAUUGAUUUAUAUAAUGUCUUUUCAAUUAUUUUUCUUUUGAAUA